rnacentral:rRNA from 1 species
GAUGAACGCUGACAGAAUGCUUAACACAUGCAAGUCUACUUGAACUUCGGUUUGGGUGGCGGACGGGUGAGUAACGCGUAAAGAACUUGCCUCACAGUUAGGGACAACAUUUGGGAACGAAUGCUAAUACCUGAUAUUAUGAUUUUAGGGCAUCCUAAGAUUAUGAAAGCUAUAUGCGCUGUGAGAGAGCUUUGCGUCCCAUUAGCUAGUUGGAGAGGUAACGGCUCACCAAGGCGAUGAUGGGUAGCCGGCCUGAGAGGGUGAACGGCCACAAGGGGACUGAGACACGGCCCUUACUCCUACGGGAGGCAGCAGUGGGGAAUAUUGGACAAUGGACCAAAAGUCUGAUCCAGCAAUUCUGUGUGCACGAUGACGUUUUUCGGAAUGUAAAGUGCUUUCAGUUGGGAAGAAAAAAAUGACGGUACCAACAGAAGAAGUGACGGCUAAAUACGUGCCAGCAGCCGCGGUAAUACGUAUGUCACAAGCGUUAUCCGGAUUUAUUGGGCGUAAAGCGCGUCUAGGUGGUUAUGUAAGUCUGAUGUGAAAAUGCAGGGCUCAACUCUGUAUUGCGUUGGAAACUGCAUGACUAGAGUACUGGAGAGGUAAGCGGAACUACAAGUGUAGAGGUGAAAUUCGUAGAUAUUUGUAGGAAUGCCGAUGGGGAAGCCAGCUUACUGGACAGAUACUGACGCUAAAGCGCGAAAGCGUGGGUAGCAAACAGG